UACGGAGGAUCCGAGCGUUAUCCGGAUUUAUUGGGUUUAAAGGGUGCGCAGGCGGGAGAUUAAGUCGGCGGUGAAAUUUUGCAGCUCAACUGUAAAAGUGCCUUCGAAACUGGUUUCCUUGAGUGUAGAUGAAGUAGGCGGAAUUUGUGGCGUAGCGGUGAAAUGCUUAGAUAUUACACAGAACACCAAUUGCGUAGGCAGCUUACUGAGCCGACACUGACGCUGAGGCACGAAAGCGUGGGGAUCGAACAGGAUUAGAUACCCUGGUA
rnacentral:rRNA from 1 species